rnacentral:snoRNA from 1 species
GGAUCGAUGAUGAACCCUCACAUGCAUUCCUUGAAAAUCUGAACAAAAUGAGUGAGAACUCACUACCGUCUCCUCAUCGAAACUGAGGUCC